UAAAAAAGCAGAUGAGAAAAUAAAGAGGAAGGAGAGAUCUUUCCUGCACACAACUGACUCCUUGUAUGUUUAUCGGCCGUCACAACUCUACACUGACAGCUGCAUCCGUGGCUGUCUGAGGACUGGUGGUGACACCCGUGCCCUGUCCCCCUCCAGCGGCAUGAGGAGAUGAUCAUCCCUGGAAGAACCCCCUGAUUUCCCUCAGAGCCCAGGGCCAUUUCCCCUGAAUGAUCAAUAAAUCCCUUCAGCAAAGCUA